rnacentral:lncRNA from 1 species
AGUUUAUUUUAACUAAGCAUACAUGAAAGAACUUGUUAACUAAGUUACUACACAAUGUUCAGAUAUACAUAACCAAGCACCUACAUGAUUCUAGUAAAGGAACCUAACUAACAAUUGUACUACUAAGAUUUAGAAUACAACAUAAAAUAAAUUCCAGAUCUUCAACUCUUCAUUUUUGUAUUUCAUGCUUCAAAUUUCCAGAUUACAAAGUUUAGCCAUUUGAUUGUGUACCUGAUAUAGGAAGGCAAAAGAAGAGGAAGAUCAGCAGGACAACAGUAACACACAACUACAGAAGUACUCAACAACUUUCAGCAACAACUAGUAAAACCCAGGAAAGCCCAAUAAUAACCAGUGAUAGAAACCCAGGAAAACUCAAUGAAAGAGUGGUCAAUCACCCACAACAAACUCAGAAAUGCCAAAUAGUUAUCACAAAACAGAAGCAAGAAGAAACAACGACCAAUAGAACAAAAGUUUCUGAUUUUUCAAAUACUUAAAACAAGAAGCUGGGAGUUUCAAUUAAACAGUAGCAGGUUAGUACUGAUUUUCACUCACAGAAGAGACCUCACUUUCAGUUAUCUGAACUCUCAAGAUUAAAUGUCCGUUUGUAUUUCACUCUUCAACUCUCUGAAUUCCUCCUCUUUUCUAAGUGACAAAUGACUUCUAAUUUAUAACCAAAGCAAGACUCUUUCUCCCCUCCCCUUUAAUUAUUAUCCCUGCCCCUUUUAUUAUUAUCCCUAUUAUUAUUACCACACUCGUUUCUUUAAUAAAAACCCCCCAGAUAUGCUCUUCUAUUCUUCUUUUUCACUUUUAUUAUUAAACUACUAUUCCUAAUUAUCAAUCAACCAAAAGCAGUCAAACAUUCUCAUUACCUAGUGGUCCCCUACUACUAAUUUAUUCAAGUUAAAGCACACUGGGGUCCUACUGGUCAUAAUACUCAGUCAAAUCCAGAUUUUUAUUUUGUCUAUUCCUAAAAUAACCUUGAAAACUACUGUUAAUGCUCUUAAAUCAGGAUUUGCUUUAAGCUGGGCAUAUCUAAAUCUGAUUACCUGCUAAUUAGAACAGUUAUAACCAAGCUCACUUAAUUAAUCAGCAUUUAGCCAUACAGACUGACUCCUACCAAGCAUCUAAAAAACUAAAUUUAAUCAAGAUUCAACUCAACCACACAUAUUCAAACAAGCAUUCAAAUUAAACAAAAAUGAUAUCAAAACAAAAUCAACUAUCCAGAACAAAAUCAAUAUGGCACUCAGACAAAAAUUAAAGAACAUGUAAAACCUACUAAACUCAUAUGCAACAAAAUGAUAGACAACACAACUGAUACCAUUUGAACAAAUAGCAAUCCAAACAAUUAUGGAAAUAGUUACAGUUUUAUACAAGACUGGGCAUUAUCUGUUUCAAUUCAAUCAACCAAUCUAGAAAAAUGAAUUCAGAGUUAAACCAAACUAACAUUUAGCACGAACAUGCAUUAACUAACAGAACUGGACUAAGGAAUGAAAUUUAUUGAAUCGCAUCGACAAUUUAUAACCUAUGUUGAUUAGUUAGGAGAAAACUGAACCUGAAAAAAUGCUUCAAUAGAGGGGGAAAGAAUUAUUUAAUCAGAAAUGAUGAUUACAACGGAGUUAAUUCAAAAACCUACAACGAAACAUAGACAAGCAAACAUACAGAAAAGGAAAAGAAAAAUUUAAGAAAACUUACUGAUUUCGGAUUCCAAUCAACAUGUUCUUCGAAAUUGAUUUCCAGUUAUUAUUAUAUGCCUAUUACGUCAGAAACAGGCUUAUAAUAUUAACUAGAAACCAAUUUGUCCUUGACAAUUUCGAAUCGCCUAGAACCGUUGAACCCAAGAUUUAUCGCUCGGCCAAGUAUAACUCGAAUUUGAACCAAAUUGGUUAUGGAUUAGGGACGAGCAGGUCCAGGGGAUUAUCGGGUGUAAGUUAAGGGUCAAACGGACCAACAAGGCUUUUGGGGCUGGUCUUUAAUCGAAGAUUUGAGACGUUCCGUUGAGAUUCGAAGCAAACAGAGCCUGGAUUCGUGAUGAGGGUGGUCAGGAGGCUCAUGGGUGUAAAUUUGGUGGCCAUCGGAGUUCAGGACGCCGGGUUUUUGGUGUGGGAGAACCAUGGCGACUAGGGUUUGAGGGUGUCGUCUCUGAGUAGAUAUGAUGAACAUGAAGGAGACGGGAUGGGGUGUUUUGUUUGGGGAUGGGGUAAGAGUUUUAGGUUUAUAUAUUAAAAGGGAAAAUGAAUCCUGGCUAUUUGAUGUGUUGAGCUCAAUGGCCAGGAUUGAUCAACUGAAGGGGAACGAUGUCGUUUGGUUUAAGUGGGGGUGAGACCGG